AGCGGCGGAUGGGUGAGUAACACGUGGGGAACCUGCCCCUAAGUCUGGGAUACCAUUUGGAAACAGGUGCUAAUACCGGAUAAUAAAGCAGAUCGCAUGAUCAGCUUUUGAAAGGCGGCGUAAGCUGUCGCUAAGGGAUGGCCCCGCGGUGCAUUAGCUAGUUGGUAAGGUAACGGCUUACCAAGGCAAUGAUGCAUAGCCGAGUUGAGAGACUGAUCGGCCACAUUGGGACUGAGACACGGCCCAAACUCCUACGGGAGGCAGCAGUAGGGAAUCUUCCACAAUGGACGAAAGUCUGAUGGAGCAACGCCGCGUGAGUGAAGAAGGGUUUCGGCUCGUAAAGCUCUGUUGGUAGUGAAGAAAGAUAGAGGUAGUAACUGGCCUUUAUUUGACGGUAAUUACUUAGAAAGUCACGGCUAACUACGUGCCAGCAGCCGCGGUAAUACGUAGGUGGCAAGCGUUGUCCGGAUUUAUUGGGCGUAAAGCGAGUGCAGGCGGUUCAAUAAGUCUGAUGUGAAAGCCUUCGGCUCAACCGGAGAAUUGCAUCAGAAACUGUUGAACUUGAGUGCAGAAGAGGAGAGUGGAACUCCAUGUGUAGCGGUGGAAUGCGUAGAUAUAUGGAAGAGCACCAGUGGCGAAGGCGGCUCUCUGGUCUGCAACUGACGCUGAGGCUCGAAAGCAUGGGUAGCGAACAGGAUUAGAUACCCUGGUAGUCCAUGCCGUAAACGAUGAGUGCUAAGUGU
rnacentral:rRNA from 1 species